rnacentral:tRNA from 1 species
GGGGGUGUAGCUCAGUGGUUAGAGCAGUCGGCUCAUAACUGAUUGGUCGCUGGUUCGAACCCAGCCACCCCCACCA